rnacentral:rRNA from 1 species
CUGUCUCUUGUAGAUGACCAAUGAAACUGAUCUUGUAGUCAAAAAGCUAUAAUAAAAACACUAGACGAGAAGACCCUGUGGAGCUUCAAACCAAAACCAAAUUAAUGACCCUUUGGUUUUUAGUUGGGGCAACUUCGGAGUAUACACCAACCUCCGACAAACUAGUUAAGACAAACAAGUCUAAACAAUUUACUCGACCCAAUAGUUUACAAUAAACUACUUGACCAAUGAACCAAGUUACCCCAGGGAUAACAGCGCUAUCCCCUUUUAGAGUCCCUAUCGACAAGGGGGCUUACGACCUCGAUGUUGGAUCAGGACACCA